CCUACGGGAGACAGCAGUGGGGAAUAUUGCACAAUGGGGGAAACCCUGAUGCAGCGACGCCGCGUGAGUGAAGAAGUAUUUCGGUAUGUAAAGCUCUAUCAGCAGGGAAGAAACCCACCCUCCGGGGUGGCUGACGGUACCUGACUAAGAAGCCCCGGCUAACUACGUGCCAGCAGCCGCGGUAAUACGUAGGGGGCAAGCGUUAUCCGGAUUUACUGGGUGUAAAGGGAGCGUAGGUGGCAAGGCAAGUCAGAUGUGAAAACCCGGGGCCCAACCCCGGGAGUGCAUUUGAAACUGUCUGGCUAGAGUGCAGAAGAGGUAAGUGGAAUUCCUAGUGUAGCGGUGAAAUGCAUAGAUAUUAGGAGGAACACCGGCGGCGAAGGCGGCCUGCUGGACCGCGACUGACGUUGAGGCUCGAAAGCGUGGGGAGCGAACAGGAUUAGAUACCCGAGUAGUC
rnacentral:rRNA from 1 species